UACGUAGGGUGCAAGCGUUGUCCGGAAUUAUUGGGCGUAAAGAGCUCGUAGGCGGUUUGUCGCGUCGAAUGUGAAAACCCGGGGCUCAACCCCGGGCCUGCAUUCGAUACGGGCAGACUAGAGUUCGGUAGGGGAGUCUGGAAUUCCUGGUGUAGCGGUGAAAUGCGCAGAUAUCAGGAGGAACACCGGUGGCGAAGGCGGGACUCUGGGCCGAUACUGAUGCUGAGGAGCGAAAGCGUGGGGAGCGAACAGG
rnacentral:rRNA from 1 species